GCGUACCAUUAGCUAGUUGGUAGGGUAAGGGCCUACCAAGGCGACGAUGGUUAGCUGGUCUGAGAGGAUGAUCAGCCACACUGGAACUGAGACACGGUCCAGACUCCUACGGGAGGCAGCAGUGGGGAAUUUUGCGCAAUGGGGGCAACCCUGACGCAGCAACGCCGCGUGAGUGAUGAAGGCUUUCGGGUCGUAAAGCUCUGUCGGGAGGGACGAAGUGUACGGAGGUUAAUACCCUUUGUACUUGACGGUACCUCCGAAGGAAGCACCGGCUAACUCCGUGCCAGCAGCCGCGGUAAUACGGAGGGUGCAAGCGUUGUUCGGAUUUAUUGGGCGUAAAGCGCGUGUAGGCGGUUUGGUAAGUCUGAUGUGAAAGCCCCGGGCUCAACCUGGGAAGUGCAUUGGAAACUGUCAGACUUGAAUACGGGAGAGGGUAGUGGAAUUCCUAGUGUAGGAGUGAAAUCCGUAGAUAUUAGGAGGAACACCGGUGGCGAAGGCGGCUACCUGGACCGAUAUUGACGCUGAGACGCGAAAGCGUGGGUAGCAAACAGGAUUAGAUACCCUGGUAGUCCACGCCGUAAACGAUGAGUACUAGGUGUUGCGGGUAUUGACCCCUGCAGUGCCGCAGCUAACGCAUUAA
rnacentral:rRNA from 1 species